rnacentral:rRNA from 1 species
UACAGAGGGUGCGAGCGUUGUUCGGAAUUAUUGGGCGUAAAGAGCUCGUAGGCGGUUUGUCGCGUCUGCUGUGAAAACUCGGGGCUUAACUCCGGGCCUGCAGUGGGUACGGGCAGACUAGAGUGCGGUAGGGGAGACUGGAAUUCCUGGUGUAGCGGUGAAAUGCGCAGAUAUCAGGAGGAACACCGGUGGCGAAGGCGGGUCUCUGGGCCGUAACUGACGCUGAGGAGCGAAAGCGUGGGGAGCGAACAGG